AACGCAAAUUUCACAGACAUUUCCCGUGAGACAGCUUACAGAAUCUCCUUGAGGUUGGACCCUUCGAGUUCGGCCCAUGACGAGCGCGAUACUUUGUCUCACAAGGUGGGCUGCAUGGUCUUCUCUUGUGUGGAGUGUACUGAAGAUCAUACUUCCACUUGCCAAUCUUGGGUGCAUCGUUUCAUCUGGUUUAGCCUUGUCUAAGCCUAAGGAUCCUCCUUCGUGAGUCCGAAUGGGAGAUGAUGCAAGGAUUGACAGGACAUUU
rfam:Cyberlindnera jadinii NRRL Y-1542 unplaced genomic scaffold CYBJAscaffold_10, whole genome shotgun sequence.